rnacentral:rRNA from 1 species
UACAGGGGAGCCAAGCGUUGUCCGGAUUUACUGGGCGUAAAGAGCGCGCAGGCGGUCGUUCAAGUCGCGUGUGAAAGCCCCCGGCUCAACUGGGGAGGGUCACGCGAUACUGAUCGACUCGAAGGCAGGAGAGGGUAGUGGAAUUCCCGGUGUAGUGGUGAAAUGCGUAGAUAUCGGGAGGAACACCAGUGGCGAAGGCGACUACCUGGCCUGUUCUUGACGCUGAGGCGCGAAAGCUAGGGGAGCAAACGGG